rnacentral:tRNA from 1 species
UAGCCUAAUGGUUAAGGCUAUGGAUUGCCAAUCCGGAGACGGCGGAUUCGAUUUCCGU